CUUAAUAUUUUAUGAUGUAUUUAAAUGAGUAGUUAUUGUUGCAAACUCCAUUAGAAAUUUUAAUUGAGAUUAGUUUUGGAAUAAGGGAAAGGGGGAUGUGAUUAAAAAAAAUUGGGUUCAAUUUUUCUCAUUUGAAAUUUCAUAAAUAAAAAAGAAAAUUUCUUCAAACAUUUUUUUGAGAGGAUUAAUAUUCAACAGCAUAGUGAAUUGCUCUAAGAGAAACAAAAAUUUUAAGUUCAUUAGAACACAUUCAUUCUGUGUCAGAAACCUAUGCUGUGUCAACUAUUUAAUCACAAUCCAAAUUUAGAGCUGAAUCCAGCUUGAAUGUUGUGUCCAUACUUGCCCUAACCGUUCAGGGUUCAACCUCAGCGGUCGUAUAAAGCUACGCCCUGCGGAGCAUCUGGUUUAUUAUGGGCCCAGUUUUCAAGUUGGUCCAAAUCAGGAUUCCAUAUCAAGUAUUGUGCAAUAGCAAGAAAUUUUUAAUUGCACAGUAUUGCACAAUAGCAAGAAAUAUCUAAUUGCACAAUAUUGUGCAAUAGCAAUUAAUUUUCAAUUGGAGUUAUCUUUCUUUGUAUAGAAUAGUAGUUGAUAAUAUAUGUUGGAAAUUUGCCAGACAUGACUAUGAUGUCAUUUUCUAUUUUUAUUUGCCAAUAACUUUAUGUAAAUAACUUCUUUGGAAAUUUGCCAA
rnacentral:lncRNA from 1 species